UUGGGUUCUCACCUCACUGGCCCCUCAAGAUAACUAUGGCUCUGAUACCACUUUGUUGGUAUAAGAUUAAAUACUUAUACAGAAUAUAUAUUUUUGGGCUGCUGGAACUUUUUUUAUUGAUUGAAGAAUGCUGAAUUUAUACAUGAACUUGUAACUUAAAUGACAUUAGAAUAGCAGAAAAUCAAGCUACUAGAUGAUGAACAACUACUUCCUAUAAAAUAGAAACCAAAUCUUGACCAAAUAAAAAUAAGAAAAUAUCUAGAUGUUGC
rnacentral:lncRNA from 1 species